rnacentral:tRNA from 1 species
AGAAAUAAUAAUGAAACCUCAUUAAAAUAUAGAUUAGAAAUCUACAAAUUUUUAUUUCUUAUAUC